GACAGAGGAUGCAAGCGUUAUCCGGAAUGAUUGGGCGUAAGGCGUCUGUAGGUGCUUUUUAAGUCCGCCGUCAAAUCCCAGGGCUCAACCUCGAACUUGCGGUGGGUACGGGCAGACUAGAGUGUGGUAGGGAGACUGGAAUUCCUGGUGUAGCGGUGAAAUGCGCAGAUAUCAGGAGGAACACCGAUGGCGAAGGCGGGUCUCUGGGCCACUACUGACGCUGAGAAGCGAAAGCAUGGGGAGCGAACAGG
rnacentral:rRNA from 1 species